UUUUUUGUGGGGUCGAAGCCCACCUGUUUA
rnacentral:tRNA from 1 species